UUCUUUCAUUCUAUUUCUUCUCAUAUCUUUUCUUUAUUUUAUAAGUUUUAUUGCAAAACUUACCAUGUGUGAGUAGUUUUCUUAUUCUAGGGUUAGGGAUGUAGCACUCUCAAUUUAAUUAUGGAUCUUAUUUGAUUUUAUUUAAUACAUUGAAAAUUUUAUUCUUUGAUUCAAUUUCUUGUAUUCUUAAUGCAUGCUAUGUGAUAGUACCCACCUAGCCAUGAUAUAAGAUAUUAAUUGAUGAACUGAGAAGUGAAGAUUAGUAUUAGAAAAUCAAGAUUUUGAACCUAGAAAAUCUGACCUAGAGAUAAGCUGAUGAUCUUUGUGGAGUUCCAAAAUUAAUC
rnacentral:misc_RNA from 1 species